CCAAUCGCUGACGGCCGGGCGUUCACCUUUGCCCGCCCCGAGCGGUAUUAGCCAAUAAAAGACCGGUAUCCCAUCCCGGGCCAAUCGCUGAACGAGGCCGCACCCCGCGCCUUCCGGACCAAUCGCAAAUAAGCCUCGCGCCACAGCACGCAGGACUCUUGAUGACGUUCCGCCCUGUUUCCCCGCCUUUCUGCGCCGGCCUCUGCGUCGCCGUCGCCGCGCUCCUAUUCACCAAGCCGGGCAGAGCACCGACCAAUCGCAGGCCAGCGUUUCGGGGGCACAUCCCUGUCGCCCCGCCUCCCGUGCCGAAAUGGCCAAUCUUGACGACAGUCUUCACCGUGCUCUCUCGUCUAGCUAGCCUCCAGAUUUCCAGACUCUCCCGGAAUUCCUGAGAAGGGGUCCAGCCUGUAGCCCUGACAGCGGGCGGGCGGAAGUCCACUCCCGCCAAGAUCUGCGAGCGUGGGGGCGGGGCUACAGAUCUGCGGCGCGCAGCGCAGUGGGAGCCUGGUUUCGACCUUGACCUUGGUGCUGACUUCAGCGGGCCGUGUGACCUCAGUUCCAGAAUAAUAGGGAAAAUGUGAAUUUCAGCGGAACCUGUGCUUUACCUACAGGAGCAGGGUAUCACCAACUGUGGCCCGUGGGCCAAGUCCUGUCACUGCCUGUUUUUGUGACUCCCACGAGCUAAGCAUAUUUCUUACAUUUUUUUAAAAGGUUGGGGGGAUCAAAAUAAUAUUCUAUGACGUGAAAAUUGUAUGAAAUUCAAAUAGUAUGCAUAAAUAAAGCUUUACUGGAACACA